UACAACAUAGCAUUAAUGAACCAUAUCCCAUUAUAACUCUGCAAUUAAUCACACUCAAGCUAGAAUAGUACUAGGAUGGGUGACCACCUAGGAAGUCCUAGUGUUUUAC
rfam:Picea glauca, whole genome shotgun sequence.